GACGUAGGGCGCGAGCGUUGUCCGGAUUUAUUGGGCGUAAAGAGCUCGUAGGCGGCUUGUUGCGUCAGCUGUGAAAACCCGCAGCUCAACUGUGGGCUUGCAGCUGAUACGGGCAGGCUUGAGUUCGGUAGGGGAGACUGGAAUUCCUGGUGUAGCGGUGAAAUGCGCAGAUAUCAGGAGGAACACCGGUGGCGAAGGCGGCAUCCCUGGACCGAGAUUGACGCUGAGGCGCGAAAGCCAGGGGAGCAAACGGG
rnacentral:rRNA from 1 species